rnacentral:rRNA from 1 species
UGGGGAAUAUUGGACAAUGGGCGCAAGCCUGACCCAGCCAUGCCGCGUGAGGGAUGAAGGUCCUAGGGUUGUAAAGCUCUUUCACCGGGGAAGAUAAUGACGGUAACCGGAGAAGAAGCUCCGGCUAACUUCGUGCCAGCAGCCGCGGUAAUACGAAGGGGGCUAGCGUUGUUCGGAUUUACUGGGCGUAAAGCGCAUGUAGGCGGACUUUUAAGUCAGGGGUGAAAUCCCGGGGCUGAACCCCGGAACUGCCUUUGAUACUGGAAGUCUUGAGUAUGGUAGAGGUGGGUGGAAUUCCGAGUGUAGAGGUGAAAUUCGUAGAUAUUCGGAGGAACACCAGUGGCGAAGGCGGCUCACUGGACCGUUACUGACGCUGAGGUGCGAAAGCGUGGGGAGCAAACAGG